AAUAGAAGGGUUAUAGGGUGGGGGAGCGGAGGCUGAAGAAGAGUUGGAGCCUGAUUCAGCCUGGCGGGGAGCGACCUGAGGAGGAGCAGUCUGGGGAGGAGAACCCUUGAUGGCCUGUUUCCCAUCCUCCAUCCUGGAAAACUGAUCUGGAACGCCAGGAGGAGGUCCUCUGAGCCCUGAGGCAGAGAUGUCUCACCUGGAAAAUGGGUCUAAUGACUGAGCCCCCCAUGCAGCAGAGAGGACUGCAGAUAGUGUGGAUGAGAGGAAGGUCUCUGGCCCUGGACACAGCAUCAUCAAGUGAAAAUGUAUGAGGAAGAAAAUAGCAGAUGAGAAGAAUCAACCAAAUUCCGGAAGCUGGAAGGCAGAUGCAAGAAGGCCCUUGAAUGAUGCCAGCACCUUGAUAUUGGACUUCCCAGCCUCCAGAACCAUAAGCCAAUACAUUUCUGUUCCAUAAAAAUUACCCAGUUUCAGGUGUUCUGCUAUAGCAGCACAAAAUGGACUAAAACAAUGUUGGCACAAGACUCACUGCUGAGCCUGGCAUACAACAAGCCCUUGGAGUGGCGUGCUGUGUGGAUAAUGAAUGUUGGGGAAGGCGUCUCUCUCCAGCCCCUCUCAAGCUUUCUGUAGUCACUGGUCCACUCUGUAUUGCUAUGAAGAAGUUCAGGACCAGCCUGUAUCACUCGGGGUCCUGGCAGGAACCAGGUGCCACACUCAAACUGAGUAAUUGAAGAGGGUUUAAUAUGGGAGUUAUUUACAAAGGUGUGGGCUGGUAUAGCUGCCCAUAUGCCCUCGAAAUCACCUCUACAUGGCAAUAGCUACUUGCUGCUGACAGAGUCUCUCUCUCAUUGCUGCAAAUAUUUUCUAGCCAUGCAAGAAACUCAGCCAGUUAUGUUGAACAAACUAAGAGUGCCAGGAAGUUAAUGUCCUGGAAGCAUUGCCAGAGGGGAGGGGGCAGAUAGAUUCCCCAGCUUCCUCGCUCCUCAGCUGGGUUAAGCCUGCGACAUAUUCAUUAUCUCCCAGAGUGCUGCCCAGGGAUAGAGCGCCAGGUGCUCAGUGUGGUGACCUGCUCAUGUCAGCUUCUUCCCCUUUCCUGUCUUGUUUCUGCACCCACUUCCUUCCCAUGUUUCCUCUUCCCAAAUAAACUACUUGCAUUCAAA